CUUGAUGGACCCCAGCCACAGGGGCUGUCCGGCGGGGCGGUUCCGGCCGUACGUGGCCAGCAGGGCCUGGGCCUC
rnacentral:antisense_RNA from 1 species